rnacentral:piRNA from 1 species
GUAUGAUUUUGAGCUCAUGU